AAUGAACGCUGGCGGCAGGCCUAACACAUGCAAGUCGAACGGAUCCUUCGGGAUUAGUGGCGGACGGGUGAGUAACGCGUGGGAACAUAACCUUUGGUACGGAAUAGCCUAGGGAAACUGGGAGUAAUACCGUAUGUGGUCGAGAGACGAAAGAUUUAUCGCCAAAGGAUUGGCCCGCGUUGGAUUAGGUAGUUAGUGGGGUAAUGGCCUACCAAGCCGACGAUCCAUAGCUGGUUUGAGAGGAUGAUCAGCCACACUGGGAACUGGGACACGGCCCAGACUCCUACGGGAGGCAACAGUGGGGAAUCUUAGACAAUGGGGGAAACCCUGAUCUAGCCAUGCCGCGUGAUCGAUGAAGGCCUUAGGGUUGAAAAGAUCUUUCAGGUGGGAAGAUAAUGACUGUACCACCAGAAGAAGCCCCGGCUAACUCCGUGCCAGCCGCCGCCGUAA
rnacentral:rRNA from 1 species